UUAACUUUUUCGUCAGUGUUGUUUUGUCGGUUUAGGGGAUCGUAUGUGCUUGGUGCGGAUUCCGGAGGACCAUUGGUUUAUAAAGCCGAGUGUGAAGCUACCGGCAUCAUGUUAAAAUUUAUGAAACACCAACAAAAAAUUAGUCCGGAACGAAUACAGAAGCAAAAGGAAUUAUUCGCUUUCAACCAGGCAUGUUUCCAUGGGUUCCCAGCCAAGCCGUCGGCCCUGGCGUGGGACCCGCUGCUGCGACUCCUAGCCAUCGCCACCAAGAACGGCCAGAUCAGGAUCUAUGGCACACCUGGAGUCGAAUUAUACGGACAAAACGAAAACAACGAAUCGGCAAUCAAUCAUCUCACCUUUCUUCAAGGGCAAUGUCGUCUAGUAUCACUGUGUGCAGACAACAGCCUACACUUAUGGCAGCUAAAGCAACUAGAUGACUCCGGUGGUAUGCAACUUGUUCAAGUCAACUCGACGUCUCUUGAGGGAAAGCUCAAGAAAAUCAGUGUAGUUGUAGCAGACAGCAAGUGUGAGCAUUUAUUGGUGGGAACCGAAGGGGGCAACAUAUAUCUUCUCAACCUGUCAACUUUUGCCAUGUCAGAUAACAUCAUUUACCAGGAUGUUGUCAUGCAAAACGUUCCUGAGGAUUACAAAGUGAAUCCUGGUCCAGUUGAAGCCAUUGCAGAACACCCUACUGACCCAAUUAAGAUAUUAAUUGGUUAUCAGCGUGGCCUUAUAGUUCUUUGGGACAAAAAGAAUCUAUGUGCAGAUCAGACAUAUGUGUGUAGCCAGCAGCUGGAGUGUGUGUGUUGGCAUGCUGAUACUGCACACUUUACUACCUCGCACAAUGAUGGCAGCUACAUGGUCUGGUCAGCUACAGAUUCUGCUCAGCCCACUGAUGGACCCCAGACUGUAUAUGGACCUUUUCCUUGCAAGCCCAUUACAAAAAUUUUAAGACCUGCUGGAAAAGAGGGUGACUUCAUUGUGUUUAGUGGUGGCAUGCCGAGGGCCAGCUAUGGCGACCGCAACACUGUGACUGCCAUACUUGGUGACAACCAUGUUACUUUUAACCUCACCUCCAAAGUUAUAGACUUUGUUGUUGUGAAGGAUAGUGAAUCUGGACAUGCAAGCUGCCUCGCAAUUUUAGCAGAGGAGGAAGCUGUGUUUAUAGACUUGGAAAGUGAAGAUUGGCCUGCAUUUGCUGCUCCAUACUUGGCCUCCCUUCACUCGUCGGCAAUUACCUGUUCUGUACUGGCAUCUUCAGUGGCAGCUGAUGUGUAUGAUAAAAUUAAGGAAGCUGGGUCGAAGCAGCAGUCUGGCCUCUCCACGAGACCCUGGCCUAUCAAUGGCGGCAAAAUUAAAAAUACCGACACGCCCAAGCAGAAAGAUGUGUUAUUGACUGGACACGAAGAUGGUACAGUACAGUUCUGGGAUGCUUCAGGAGUUUCACUCACACUGCUGUACAAGUUAUCAACGUCUCAACUCUUUGUGUCGGAGGAUCUUGGAGGUGAUGGAAUAUCAGCAGAAGAUGACGACUGGCCACCAUUCAGGAAGGCUGGACUGUUUGACCCAUACAGUGAUGAUCCAAGAUUGGGGGUAAAGAAAAUGGUGAUGUGUCCUUACACCGGAACACUUAUUGUUGCUGGUACGGCUGGCCAGGUUCUUAUACACAACUUAGAAGCUCAAGACAAGGAGUGUUCCCCGCAGUGUGUGAAUGUGAAUUUAGUAGCUGAAAAUGAAAACUUUGUAUGGAAGAGCCACAAUAAACUUGACAUGAAGACUGAUCCAGUCAAAUUUGGACCAGGCAUGCAGCCAACAGUUGUGGUACAGUUCUACCCUCCGGCAUCGUGCACUUCACUUACCCUCCAUAGUGAAUGGGGCCUGGUGGCAUGUGGCACUGCUCAUGGAUUUGCUCUGUUCGAUAUUGUGCAAAAAAAAAAUCUGCUCGCCAAAAGUACUUUAAGCCCCUUAGACCUAGCUAACGCUGCCGACGAAGGCCCCAUGUCUCGGAGAAAAUCUUUAAAGAAAUCUUUACGCGAAUCAUUCCGACGUUUACGCCGUGGCAGAUCUCAACGCAAGACUGGACGGCCUGGGGCAGCGUCUCCUACAGGAUCACAUCCUCAGAGCACGGGAGCAGCUGCAGCAGUUGGUAAUGAAGAUGGGCUGAAGCCAGUGGAGAGAGCUGUUGAGGCACGUUCACAUAGCAGUGACUAUAUUGGUUCCAUGGUUCGCUGCCUUCACCUCACAAAAUGCUUCAUCGCAAAUACACAGGCAAUGUCAGCCACACUAUGGGCUGGCACUAACAGUGGGGCCAUUUUUGUAUUCACCAUCUCCAUUCCACCGUCCGAGAAACGAGGAGACGUUCCGCUAAGUGUGCAGCUAGGUAAAGAAAUACACUUGAAGCAUGGAGCGCCUGUUAUAAGUGUGUGCAUCCUUGAUGGUGCCAGUAGACCCUUCCCUCAACCAAUGGCAGUCAAGAAAGAGGCAGCCCCGGGACCUAAUACAAACAUGCCACACAGAGUCUUGAUAUGCUCAGAAGAACAGUUUAAGGUAUUUACAUUACCGUACUUGAAACCAUUCUGCAAAUUCAAACUUACGGCGCACGAAGGUUCCAGAGUCCGUAAGAUAGGCUAUGCAGAAUUUGUAUCUUCUGUAGAUGAAAAUUACCAGGAGUCCUGCUUUAUGGCUAUGACCAACAUGGGAGAUUUUUCUUUGUAUUCUUUGCCUGACUGUCGAAGGCAAUUGUACACACCAUACAUAAAAAGGGAAGAUAUUAACGGCAUCAAUAGUGUGGUGUUCAGUAACCGUGGUGAGGCCCUAUAUUUGCUGUCACCUUGUGAAUUAGAACGCGUCUCCCUCUCGGCAAGGCACAUAACCCGACCUAAUGGAUCAGUUCCCGUUAUAAAAUCCCUGUUAGUCCAAGAGCCUCAAGAAGAAUCUAAAGAAAAGCCAAGUGAAAAUGAAGCAGAAGGUGGGAAUAAUAAUGAUGAUGCUGCUCCCGCCGCCGCCGCUGCUGCUGCUGCUGCUGCUCCCGAGCUGCAAGAAGCAUCUGUGGACUCGCAAGAGAAGGCUGAAAAUGAAUCAAGCAGAGAUGAAAAAGAGGAAAAAGUUUAUGGUGAGGCUGUAGGUGGAGGUAAUAGAAAAGUGGAGGAGGUUAAAGAGAAUGGUGACAGCAGUGUACUCAGUGGUGAUAUCACAAUCGACUCAAUCCGUGACCACAUAGUCGUCAUCCGUUCAAGUAGUUGAGACAUCUACGACUGAAGUGAACCACAGCACAGUCAACGGAACUGAGUAACAGUCAAUUAAAAUACGAGCACCAUUAGCAAAGGCGGAAUCCUUCUUCAGCAAAGAACCCCGAGUCAGGAGCAAUGAAUAAACUAUCAUUAUGAGGGUGGUUUUGUAGACGCGCCAUCCUUAGGUUGAUGGCAGAUGGAAUAUUGUAUUAUCAUGCAUUUCAGGCUUACUUUUAAUCUUUUUAUUAUGUUGGUAAAAGAAUCUCUCUCUCUCUCUCUCUCCCCUAAUUGCUAGUGCUGGAAUGUAUAUUAUGCUCAUUGUUUUAGGUCAGCACUAUUUAUUAACUAAUGUUUGGUUUUGAUACAGUGUGUAAGUGCUUUAGAAUAAUUCACUAUUAAUAUAUGGUACUGUACUGUAUAUUAAUAAAAUGCAUAAUUUAUUUUCUUUAUUGACUUUAGCUUGUAUAUUUGUUAUACCGAAUUUGACUGGGCAUUGUAAGUCCCUAGCUGACCAUUUAACUGUUUAGUUUUAUAUGAUCUUCAGUACACACUGCCUAGCUGAUUUAUUUGGGAUGGCACUUGGGUCCUGAGAUGAGAUAAAUGUAGUAACAGCAGCAUCGUACCUUGUAUAUUCCUGUACCCAUGUAUAUAUGUGUGUUCCUGUAUACAGGCACAUACAUGUGUGUUCCUGUAUACAG
rnacentral:misc_RNA from 1 species